rnacentral:rRNA from 1 species
GACAAACGCUGGCGGCGUGCUUAACACAUGCAAGUCGAACGGUACUCCUACGGGAGUAUAGUGGCGGACGGGUGAGUAACACGUAGUCAACCUACCCUAAAGUGGGGAAUAACCCCUCGAAAGAGGAGCUAAUACCGCAUACGCUCUUUGGUGAUAGCUAGAGAGGAAACGAUAGCUGUGACAGGCUAUGGGCUUUAGGAUGGGACUGCGGCGGAUUAAGCUAGAUGGUGGGGUAACGGCCACCAUGGCGACGAUCCGUAGCUGGUCUGAGAGGACGACCAGCCACACUGGGACUGAGACACGGCCCAGACUCCUACGGGAGGGCAGCAGUGAGGAAUAUUCCACAAUGGGCGCAAGCCUGACGGAGCGACGCCGCGU